GCAGCUCGGAAGCCACUCUGUUUUGGGGUCCUCGCCGCUCUUCCACGUCUCCCGGAAGAGUAACUGAGCCGUGGCCGAUCGAGGGCCAGGUUUGCUCAACCUGGACCCUCUCCCGGCCAGCUGCUGAGGACGGGAGGCCUGGGAGAGUGACCAGGCCGCGGUGCAGCCGCUCCAGAGUCCUCAGGUUCACCAAUAGGAUUAUUCUGCUGCCAUCAUGUCCUGGUUUGCUGAUCUUGCUGGAAAGGCAGAGGAUCUUUUAAACAGAGUUGAUCAAGGGGCUGCGACAGCUCUCAGUAGAAAAGAGAACACCAGCGGCAUUGUUUAUAGCAAAAAUACUGACUAUCCUGAACUUCACCAGCAAAAUACAGAUUUGACUUAUCAGACAGGACCUAAAGCUACUUACAUUUCCUCAGCAGCUGAUAAUAUUAGGAAUCAAAAAGCCACCAUCUUAGCUGGGACUGCAAAUGUGAAACUAGGAUCUAGGACAUCGGUGGAGGCCUCCCAUCCUGUUGAAAAUGCAUCUGUUCCUAGGCCUUCAUCCCAGUUUGUUCGAAGAAAAAAGUCAGAACCUGAUGAUGAGCUGCUGUUUGAUUUUCUUAAUAGUUCACAGAAGGAGCCUACUGGGAAAGUGGAAGUCAAAAAAGAAAGGGGCAAAACACCUGUCUUGCAGAGUUCUCGGACAACAAGCGUCAGUUCUGAGAACACCAGUGUAACCACCAUCAAAACCAUUGAAGAACAUCCUUCUGGGAGCCAAAGCCAUGAAGCCUCUAAUAAUUCAGAUUCUGGCCAUGAAGGCCAAGAGAUUUCUUCAAAGGAAAAUGUAUCGUCAAGUGCUGCCUGUGCUAAUCACAACCCAAUGCCUAAAGAUGAUGGGAGAUCACAUGAACUAUCUAAUCUUCGACUGGAGAAUCAACUGCUGAGGAAUGAGGUUCAGUCUUUAAAUCAAGAAAUGGCCUCAUUACUUCAAAGAUCCAAGGAAACUCAAGAGGAAUUAAACAAAGCAAGAGCAAGAGUUGAAAAGUGGAAUGUUGACCAUUCAAAGAGUGAUCGAAUAACUCGAGAACUUCAAGCACAAGUAGACGACCUGACUGAAGCGGUGGCUGCAAAGGAUUCCCAGCUGGCUGUACUGAAAGUGAGACUCCAAGAAGCUGACCAGCUGCUGAAUACUCGCACAGAAGCACUGGAAGCCUUACAGAGUGAAAAAUCACGAAUAAUGCAGGAUCACAGCGAAGGUAGUAGCCUGCAGAAUCAAGCUCUACAAACUCUUCAGGAGAGAUUGCACGAAGCAGAUGCCACUCUGAAGAGAGAGCAGGAGAGCUAUAAACAAAUGCAGAGUGAGUUUUCUGCACGCCUUAAUAAAAUGGGAGCGGAGCGCCAGAAUUUGGCAGAAGCAGUUACCCUGGCGGAAAGAAAAUACUCAGAUGAGAAGAAGAGAGCGGAUGAGCUACAGCAGCAAAUCAAAAUGCUUAAGUCCAACUUGGAAUCCUCUAAGCAGGAAUUAAUUGACUACAAGCAAAAAGCUACUAGAAUACUCCAGUCUAAAGAAAAAUUGAUUAACAGCUUAAAGGAAGGAUCUGGUUUUGAAGGCCUAGAUAGCAGUACUGCAAAUAGCAUGGAACUAGAAGAACUUCGGCAUGAGAAGGAGAUGCAAAGGGAGGAAAUACAGAAACUGAUGGGUCAGAUACAUCAGCUGAGAUCUGAAUUACAGGAUAUGGAGGCUCAGCAGGUUAGUGAAGCAGAAUCAGCAAGAGAACAAUUACAGGAUCUGCAAGACCAAAUAGCUGGACAAAAAGCAGCUAAACAGGAACUAGAGGCAGAAUUGGACCGACAGAAGCAGGAAUUCCACUACAUGGAAGAAGAUCUGUAUCGAACAAAGAACACAUUACAAAGCAGAAUUAAAGAUCGAGAAGAUGAAAUUCAAAAACUCAGGAAUCAGCUUACGAAUAAAACUUUAAGCAAUAGCAGUCAGUCUGAGUUAGAAAACCGACUCCAUCAGCUGACAGAGACUCUCAUCCAGAAGCAGACUAUGCUGGAGAGUCUCAGCACAGAGAAGAACUCUCUGGUCUUCCAGCUGGAGCGCCUUGAGCAGCAAAUGAACUCCGCCGCUGGAAGCAGUAGUAAUGGGUCUUCUAUUAACAUGUCUGGAGUUGACGGUGGUGAAGGCACACGUCUGCGAAACGUUCCUGUUCUUUUUACUGACACAGAAACUAAUCUGGCAGGAAUGUAUGGAAAAGUCCGCAAAGCCGCUAGUUCAAUUGACCAGUUUAGCAUCCGUCUGGGAAUUUUUCUCCGAAGAUACCCCAUAGCACGAGUUUUUGUAAUUAUAUAUAUGGCUUUGCUUCACCUCUGGGUCAUGAUUGUUCUGUUGACUUACACACCAGAAAUGCACCAUGACCAACCACAUGGCAAAUGAACUGAGCCAGGUUGUUCUGGUGAUUGGUCAUCUCUCUCCAGUUUUGGGGUCUGCAGAAGGGUCACUUGCCUGAAAUUCCUGAGAAGGGUACACAAGAUUAUUUUAUCACUACAGGCUUUUAACUUUUUAAGUUAUUAUACAAGUACUCUGCUACCAAAAUCUUCUUCUGAUUUCCUUCAAAUGGGUCCUUAAAAGAUGGAAGAAGAAAGCAGCAGAGUCAGAGAUGUCAUGACAGCAGAAGUCAGAAUGAUUGAAUAGCUGGCUUUGAAGAUGGAGGAGGGGCCAUGAGCCAAGGAAUGCAGGCAGCCUCUAGAAGCUGGAAAAGGCCAGGAAGCAGAUUCUCCCCUAGAGCCUCCGCAAAGGAUUACAGCCCGGCCAGGACUUUGAUUUGAACCCAGUGAGACCCACUUCAGACUUCUGACCUCCACGACUGUAAGAGAAUAAAUUUGUGUUGUUUUUAGGCA